ACCGUUCGGCGUGACUGGCGGAGCGCAGGCAAUUACCCUGUGUGGACUGCAUCCUGGAUCUGUCGUGGUUAGUUUCCCCGGCAAUCCAUUGCCGCAUUAGCGCAAAGCGUUCCCUAACCACGGGUAGCGUUGAACUGAACCGCCGACCGCCUGGGCACGCCCG
rnacentral:ncRNA from 2 species